UGUUUUAUCAAUUUGUGCUUUAAAUGCUUCCAGGAUUUCAGAUGUCAUUGGUUCCACUGGAUUCCCUGGCUUUCCAGGUGCCAAUGGAGAGAAAGGUGCACAGGGAGUAGCUGGCAAACCAGGCCCUCAGAGU